AUUUUGUGCGGGCUUUUAGGUUGCAUAGCCCCAAUCAACUUCCAGUUCACUCUCUCUGCUACACCUUGUACCAAAUAAGCCUUCUCUUCUAUAAGUUGCCUUGGUCGUGGUAUUUUAUCAGAGCAAAAGAAAAGUAACUAAUACAUGAUGCUUUGACUUCCUGCCUUGGCUUUCCAGCAAUAAUGGACUGUGUCCUGGAACAAUAAGCUUAAUAAACUCACUUUUCCCUUUUGCUGUUUUUUGUCAAGAUAUUUUAUCACAGAAACAGAAAUGAAACUAGAACUAUCCUGAAGUUCCAGAGCCCUCCGUGGGCUUUAUUCCUUGUUAGUGCCUCCAGGUCCUCACAGAACCUGCUGUCUAGACCAUGGGCCAGGACCCGGCUGUAUUCUACAUCCUUCUGUGUUAAACUGCUAGAUGUUGUACUACCAUGAUUUCUACCUGAUAGUGAGUGCACAUUCUGCCUUAUCCUUGGUGGGUUCCCCUGUCAUCUCAGAGAGGUCAGGUUCUGUCUUCCUCAGCAUCACAGGAAUGUGUCUGUCAAACCCAGAGCCUCAAGCAUGUUAGGUAAAAAGUAAUCUAAUCCCAUUCCCAUCCUCUUUUGAAAAUUAUUAUCAAUUUUUUAAGUAGCAUACAAAGUGAUUGUGUGUGUGUGUGUGUGUGUUAUUUCUUCUUUCUUUUUCAUGGUCACCUUUCUAGUUCCAUGACCAUACCUACCCCCCCCAAAACACAUACAUAAAAAUUAGAGUCAAUUCCAUCAAUUUUCCUGAAAAUAGCAUUAUUUGCUUUUUCUUUAUUGCUAAAUAAAAAGUUUUAUGUUUAUUGAUGUAUCACAUUUUCUUAUCCAUUUAUCUGUGAUGAACAUCUAGGUUGUUCUUUGUUCCAUUUCUGGAUAUUAUCAAUAGUGUCCCAAUAAAAUAUGGGCGUGUAAGUAAUUCUAUGGUGUGUUAACAUAGAAUCCCCAGAGAGAGAGAGAGAGAGAGAGAGAGAGAGAGAGAGAGAGAAUCUCCAAGAAUGGUAUAGCUGGGUUGCAUAACAGUUCUAUAUUUUAGUGUUUUGAAAAACCGUACUGAUAUCCAUGGAGUCUAUACUGCUUUGUAUUUCCACCAGUAGUAAAUAUUAUUAUUUCCCUAUAAACUCACCAGCAUUUAUUGUCCUUCAUUUUAUUGAUAUCAGAGUCAUUCUGACUGGGAUGGAAUGGAAUUUCAAAGUACUUUUAAUUUUUAUUUCCUUGAUGGGUAUGGGUAUUGAAAACUUUUCAAAAUAUUUAUUAAUAAUUUAUUUGUUUUAUUUUGGAGAUUUUUUUUUCUGAGACAGAGUCCCUUUAUGUAGCUCUGGAUGUCCUAGAACUAGCGCUGUAGACCAGGCUGGUCAUGAACUCACAGAGAUCUGCCUGCCUUUGUCUCCAGAGUGCUGAGAUCAAAAGUUUUUCCCUCUAGUUGCAUGCCGGAGACCAAGAAUCCCAGGCAUGUAGUCACGACGGAUGCUGGCACUGGAGGCUGCAAUUAGCCUUGACCACCUGGAUAGAUUGCUUCUUGAGACCAGGAACCACCCCCCACCUGACUCCCCCAUCUGACUCCUCCACCUGACUCCCCCACAUGAUCCCACCACCUGAUUCCCCCACCUGACCGGAAUCACGAGAUAGCCUCCCGUCCUUCUCCCUCCAAUUUUUUACUUCCUUAUUCUUUGAGCUUAAAAGCAAAAGCCUUGCCCCACAAUAAAUGGGACUUUGACAAGGAAAACUGCUUGGUCCCGUUCUUCUCUCUCGCCCGUUUUUCUUCAGGCUUUGCCCUCUUUGAAGACCCCACGAAUUACUAGUCCCGCAGGCGGGUAAAAGUGGCGCCCAACGUGGGGCACGAAGCACGGACCACUGCCGGAUGGAGGUCCUCAUGGAUUGAUCCGGAUCGCUCAAAAAACGCCGCAACGAACCGAAAGUAAGAUCGGCCGCUCGCGACUCGUAAAGACUACGUUCCUGCCACUCACGGGAAAAAGAUACGUUGG